rnacentral:lncRNA from 1 species
GCUCUGAUACCAUAUGACACGGACUUAGCUGGUUUUGCCUAAGUCGUGCGGCACCCUCGCGCGUCCGUCCGCAAAGGUCAGCCUCCCCGAAGCCUCCCAUUGUCCCUUAGGACCAACAAAAGAGAGAACGGGUUAAAGAGAACACCUCAAUCGGGAUCCACAAGCAAACAUAUCCGAAAAACACUUUAUAGACAAUGCAAAUUACAAACAGACUUUACAAGCUCUGAACAGUGGCACAACAAAGGGUAAAAUGGUCCAUUACAUACCGAAAAGCUCUCGC